rnacentral:tRNA from 1 species
ACUACCUUGACAGAUUAAUGUGUUAAAUUUAGAAUUUAUUUAUGUAAUUUAUAUUACAGGUAGUA